UGGCGGCGCGUGACCGCCCUCUGGCGGCUGCUUGGGACAGCGCCGCUGUUUCCAUGGAGACCUGGAAACUCCUCCCUGCGGGAUGGCUCUGCUCCCCCACCCCCAGCCUGCGCCCGGGGGGGGGGGUGGCUUUGCCCCCUCCCACCCCAAGCCGCUCCCACUGGCGGGCCGGGGCCUCUCCCUCUUACUCCCGUUGGGGGCCGGUGUCACUUACACACAGUCCCACGCAGAGCUGCUUAACCGUUCGUACCCCUGCGCAUCCCUGGCUGCGGCCACCCGGCUGCACCUGGACGUGACCAAUUCGCCUCAAUCCACCUGUCGGGGUUGUGGUCCCGAAUGGGGCAGGUUGUGCCGUUAAGUUUCUUGCAGUCCCAAGCCUGGAGCCCAGCGCACUUGCACGGGACAUGGCAGGGUAGACCAUGGCUCUGAGUGAUCACCUCCCAGCGAGGAUACAGAAGUUCAUCUCCCUGAUGCACAUGUGGUUUCCUCUGAUUGGGAACUAUCCCUGGUUAGGUUACAACUGUUAGAGACAGAACAGCUCUAUUAGGUCAGCCAGUCACUGCUGACUCAGUCAAGAGAGGCAAUACUUUACGUAACACGAGGAAUCAGAGGAGUCCACUUCUGCUGAUGCUUUUUCUGUGCAACAGUUCCACGGUGUUGUGAGAAACCAGAAUCAGGUCAGGAAGCUUAGAGAAAGCACACUGAACCACUUUCUAUGGUAUGCUGUUGUCCUGGUUUGAGAUGAGGAAACGUAUGCACUUGAAC